GAUGAACGCUAGCGGCAGGCUUAAUACAUGCAAGUCGAGGGACAGCACAGGUAGCAAUACUGGGUGGUAACCGGCAAACGGGUGCGGAACACGUACACAACCUUCCUUUAAGUGGGGGAUAGCCCAGAGAAAUUUGGAUUAAUACCCCGUAAUAUAGUUGAAUGGCAUCAUUUGAUUAUUAUAGCUACGGCGCUUAAUGAUGGGUGUGCGGCUGAUUAGAUAGUUGGCGGGGUAACGGCCCACCAAGUCUACGAUCAGUAGCUGAUGUGAGAGCAUGAUCCGCCACAGCGGCACUGAGACACGGGCCCGACUCCUACGGGGGGCAGCAGUAAGGAAUAUUGGUAAAUGGACGCAAGUCUGAACCAGCCAUGCCGCGUGAAGGAUUAAGAUCCUCUGGAUUGUAAACUUCUUUUAUUUGGGACGAAAAAGGGCCUUUCUAGGUCAACUGACGGUACCAGAUGAAUAAGCACCGGCUAACUCCGUGCCAGCCGCCGCCGUAACAC
rnacentral:rRNA from 1 species